UACGUAGGGUGCAAGCGUUGUCCGGAAUUAUUGGGCGUAAAGAGCUCGUAGGCGGUUUGUCACGUCGGAUGUGAAAUCCCGGGGCUUAACCUCGGGUCUGCAUUCGAUACGGGCUGACUAGAGUUCGGUAGGGGAGACUGGAAUUCCUGGCGUAGCGGUGAAAUGCGCAGAUAUCGGGAGGAACACCGGUGGCGAAGGCGGUUCUCUGGGCCUUACCUGACGCUGAGGAGCGAAAGCGUGGGGGAGCGAACAGG
rnacentral:rRNA from 1 species